AAGUUCUGAUAUGGAAAUUUCUUCAACAACAGGUUUUCCCAAUGGUGAUUUCCCUGUGAGAAAUUCUUGAGAUACGCGUUGCAUGGUAGGUCGAGACUUGGGUUUUGACUGCAAGCAUGCAAAUGCAACUAUUGAAACAAGAAUAAUAUCAUGAACAACCUUUCGAUCAAGUGGAGAUGGCAGACGUUGGUCUAAAAUAUCGAUCAACCUAAUCUUUCGUUCAGAUGAUGACGAUAAAGAUGAAAGAAGAUCUCCUGGAUGACUUCCCAUUAAUACUUCUAGUGCCACCAUUCCAAAGCUAUAAACAUCACAUUUCUCUGUCACAGCCAUGGUGUAUGCAAGUUCUACAACAAAAUAGAACCCAUUGUAAAAUUUCUUUGCACAAGCAAAAAACAAAAUAUAUAUAUAUUUGAUUCACUGUUUCUGGAAGCUUCUGCAGCAAGAUAUUUAAGAGAUAUCUAAUUGAUUUUUAAAUACAUUCAAUGCAUAAACAUGGGUAAGAAGCAUGAAAAGAAGAGCUAAAGGUUACCUGGAGCGAUAUAUCCAUAUGUCCCGAGCACUAGAGUUCUGUUGGAGGAAUCUGGAUGCAGGAGCCUAGCCAAACCAAAAUCAGCAACAAAUGCCUCUAGGUUUGAAUUAAGUAGAAUGUUAUUGCUGGAUAUGUCGCGGUGAACAAUUGGUGGCUUGCAGUCAUAAUGCAAGUAAGACAAAGCAUGAGCCAUACUCUUUACAAUGUCCACUCUCUUAGUCCAAUCCAGCUCAACAGCUUCAACGUCAUUGCGUAACACACAGAACAAGCUUCCCCACUCCAUGUACUCAUAGAUCAAAAACAUGCACUGGUUAUGCAAACAAAAUCCAUAAAGCUUCACUAUAUUACGAUGCCGUAUUUGGGAUAGUAGACGAGCUUCAGUUUGAAAACUUUUAAGGAAGGCUAGCUCCUCUGUCUCUGAACGGUGAAGUUUCUUCAAAGCGACUACUCUUCCACUAGACAAUUGUGCUCUGUAAACGCUGCCAUAACCUCCGGUUCCAAUGCAAUAUUUGAUGUGGAAAUCCUCUGUCGCUUGAAUCAUCUCUUCAAAUGUAAUUCUACCAUCAAAAUCCCAUAUUGAGAACUCAUCAGCGCACUUUUUCAUUUCUCGGGUAUUAGGAUUAAUUUUCUCAUCCAUUCGUCUGUGGACAAACAAGAUUCCAAAAAUUAAGGCAAGGAAUGCGACCAUGGGAAGAAUAAUUGUAACCAAGGGAGUAACGAUCUUUUGGUUUUUUCCUUUGUUGCCUUUAAAAUGUUGUGUUUGGGGUGGUGGUGCAUUUUCUGAAAUAACUGGGUUUUCUACCUCUAGAUUGUUUUCUGACCAUUUUAAUCCGGGCACUCUAAAGACAGAUUCGGGGAUAACGCCGGAGAGGUUAUUCUUGGAAACGUCCACUUCAGAAACGUUUGGAAUUUUUCCGAGUUGAGAAGGUAUGGUGCCAUUUAUGAAGUUAUGGCUUAAAUCAAGUUGUCUCAGAUGUAUAAGGUUGCCUAUCUCCGAUGGAAUGCUUCCGCUUAAACUGUUGUGGUUUACUGCCAAGUUCUGUAACUGCGAGCAAUUCAUGAGUUCUGGAGGAAUGGAGCUGUUGAGCUGAUUAUAACCAAGAUUCAAAGAGGUGAGGUUGGUUAAAUAACCAAUUGUUGGAGGAAUGGGUCCAAUUAGGUUGUUCCUAUCAAGAGACAGAGAAUCAAGAUACUUCAGAUUUCCGACUUCUCGAGGCAGCAGACCACUUAGUUGGUUUGAAGAAAGAUCUAGAGAUGUUAAGUAGGUUAAAUUUCCUAUGGUCGGUGGAAUUGGACCAUCAAGUCUGUUGUGAGACAAGCGCAACUCAUCCAACAAGUUUAAAAAACCAAUGGUCGAAGGAAUAGGUCCAGUGAGAUUGUUCCUAUUUAGAAGCAGAGAAUCAAGAUUCUUCAGAUUUCCAACUUCUUUAGGCAGUGGACCAACAAGAUUGUUGUAAGCCAAGUACAAAGUACUUAACUGAUUUAAAUGAUAAAGCGUUGAAGGAAUAGGCCCAGUUAGAUUGUUAUUAUCCAGAAACAGAGACACAAGAUUCUUCAGAUUUCCAACUUCUUGAGGCAGCCGACCACUAAGUUGGUUUAAAGAAAGGUCCAAAUGUGUCAAGUUAGUUAAAUUACCUAUGCUCGAUGGAAUUAGACCAUCCAGUUUGUUGCCCUGCAACCUCAGGUCAUAAAGAUCCUUCAAAUUCCCAAAUUCUAAUGGGAUAGAACCAUUGAGAAUGUUAUAAGACAGAUUCAGUUCGAGAAGAUCCCUCAAACUCCCGAUCUCUGAAGGGAUAGUACCUAUCAUAUAUAUAUAUAUACAUGCAAAUGAUUAAUUAAUGAUAAAUGAGCAAUAUUAUCCAGUACCGAUAGGAAAUUAUUGUAUAUGCAAUGAAAUUAUAUAUAAUAGUUACCUGUAAGACGGUUAUAGGACAGGUCAAGCACUUUGAGUCUUGAAAGAGCACCAGUUUCUGAUGGUAUCCUUCCGGAGAGAAAACGAGUGCCCCAAAUUCUGAAAGUUACGAGGUUGGGAAAGCAAGUGAAGUUGAGUUGGCUAAGCUCUGCUGCGUUGCCAUUAUUAUCCAUCUCGUCAGAACUUAUCUCAACUAUGCUUCCUGCUGAAUUGCAAGUGAUUCCCAUCCACUUGCAAUGAUCUGAAGUAUAGUUGGCCGUCGCCCGACUGCUAUUCCACCAGCCUGAAUUAAGUAAAGCUUCCCUUUCUAACUGUAAGGCUGACGAUGCAUCAGAUGCUGUUAGAACUGCAUUAUCAGUUAUAACAGGAACAAUAAUACUGCUUAUAAAAGUUAUAAUGACCACCAAUUUUGAAAUGGAGGAAUCCGGUGCCAUUUUUGUAAGUUUUUGGUUGAUUAGAUUCAGCGGGUGCAUGCCUGCUUUUAUAACUAAACAUUAAGUUUGACAGCAACACUCAGGGCCAGUUUGGGAAUGCUGUAACUUUUAAAAUAAUUACUGUUAGCUGUGCUGUAAAAAUAAUCAACUGUGAAGAAAAUCAGUUAAGUGUUUGGUAAAUUUUGUUUCAAGAAGUACUGUGAGUUUUGAAAGCAGUUAUGGACGUUUGGUAAAUUUUACUAUUAAACUGCUGAGAGAAAAUAAAUGACUAAAAUAUCCAUAAUAUAAGAUAAAAUUUACUUAUAUAUAUAAAAACAUGUACAUAUAAUAUUUUUAAUUGUGUAUUAUAAUAAUUUUUACUAAAAAUAAAAUUUAUAAUAUAUUUAUUUUAUUUUUUUAUCUUAAAGCAAUUGAUAAUUAAAUUAAUAAUAUAGUGAAAUAAAUUUAAUAAUAAUUCGACCAAUAAAUUGAUAUUAAUAAAUUUAUAUUUAUGAAUUAUAAUACAAAAUUUUUAUAAAUUAUUUUGUUUCCAAUUUGAAUAAGGAUAAUUUUGGAUUUAAAUAAUAAUUUUAAGGAUAUUUAUGGAAUUGUACUAAAUGAUAAAAUUGAUUUUCAAAAUCAGAAUCUAAAAGCUACUACUUCCCUGCUUUUCAAAAUCAGCUGUAGGAGAAGUUGAUUUUGACAAAAGUGAUUUUGAUUUUUUUUUACCAAACACUAAAACUAAUUUUUAGAUUUUCAAAAUCACUUUUAGGUCUCCUAAAAACAAUCCCAAACGGGACCUCAAUCAUUUUUAGCCCGCGUUGAGCUUUCUGCCUCAUCGUCAAAAUUGGCAUGCGCGUUAUCAAACGCAAGAGUCAGUUGAGUUAAUGUCUUUUUAGGCCACUAAUUCCUAUUUUUAAUUAAUUUCUCAAAGUAAAGGCUACAUGUGAUUCAUAUUCUAGCAACUUUCUAUUUCUUUCUUUACUUUUUAGUCCACUUUCCAUUCUCCCAAUUACUUUUCUAGAAUGGAGGAUUAUAUAUAUUCUAGUAACUUUCUUUUUCUUUCUUUUCCUUUUGGAACAUACUUUAUGCCCGAAUUUAGACCCCGACCGAAUUCCACCAAAAUUUUCGCCUUUAUAUGGGUUCAUUUGGGAUUUAUGUUCGGGGCGUAUAGGCAUAGCAUUGCUCUUUACUUUGUGUCGACUUUCCUUCAUCAUCAAAAUAUUCGAUAAUGUCGGGAAAUAUUAAAAUUUGUUCUUAAUUAACAAAGAAUUAAGCCGACUACCAUAUUUCGCCAAAAGUCAAAGGAAAAUUUUCCAUUCUCCGGUACAACAUAUUCUAUAAUUUAUAGUAAUUGUCUAUUUGGUAAUGCGAACGGUUAUUUACACUAAGCAAUAUUUUGAAUAUUUGGAGACCCAAGUCAUACUCAAUGCUAAAAAUAAAAUAAAUAUUUUUUCUUCGUACAGAAAAAAAUAUAAAUUACCAACAUGUGAUAGGAGUUCAUCGAUACUUAUAUCAUUAUCAUCAUCCAAACCUAUAUUUGCAUCGUCAAUUUGUCGAUCUAGAAAUGAGACUAGUACCUAUGUGCUUAAUAAAAAAAAUUAUUAAAAAAAUAUUACCUUUCAAGUAAUACAUUAUUUUGUUGUGUAUUAUAUACUAAAUCAAUGAUGUAUUCUAAAUAGAUGUUCACCCUCAAGUGGUAUCAGAUAUCUUCAUCUAAAAUGAUGUGUCUUAAAAUUUAAUGAGAAAAAUAUACAUAUAUUCUAAGGUUUGGGGAAAUAACAUGCAUGAACCUUACCAUAUAAUAUAACUUUAUGAUCGCAUUUUGGUGGAUAUUAUGUAAUUCAUUAACUUUGUUGUCUAUUAUAUACUAUAUUAAUGAUGAAUUCUAACUAGAUGAAAUUCACUCCCAAGUAGUGUCUGAUAUGGCCAUAUCCAUGUGUCCUAUAACUUUACUGAAACAAAUUUUGGGGAAUUUAAGAAUCUUUUUCUUUUUAUGUUUAGGAAAUUUAAUAAUUCGAAGUAGCUGCCAUUUUAGUUGUGUUUAAAAUUGAUUGUCUUAAAAAUUUGGAAAAUAUAUGGGAAAAUUUUCAAAAUGAUAAAAGGGAUAAUGUAGACUGACACGUUUAAACAUGUGAACUCAUUAGUCGCCAAUUAUUUGAAACGCACGGCCAGGGGAUGCCGUGUGAUUAAACACGUGAGUAGAAAACUUUUCAGGUGACUGGCUUUUUCUGAGCCGACCACAAAUUAAAGCAAAAUUGGAGUCAAGGUCUUGCAGACAAGGAAAAGAAGACGUGUGUGUACUGCGAGUUCACAUUUGAGGGUUGACUGACAAAUUUGUCCCUUGUCAAGCUCGUCAAAGAAGCACCUAUAAAUUUCACUUGAGAAUAUAUAUAUUUUAUAUUUAUCCAAAGUGAAGGAUUUAAUUAAACAAAAUUCAGUCUCACGAAUGUUAAUAUACCGAAAAAAGUUAUACAAAAACCACUAUCAAAAUUUUGGAUAAUCUUGAGAAAUUUUAAAAUUUGUUCUUAAUUAACAAAGAAUUACGCCCAAUACCAUAUUUCGCCAAAUCUCAAAGGAAAAUUUUCCACUUUUCCGGUACAAUAUUUUCUAUAAUUUACGGUAAUUAUUAAUUGGUAAUGCCAAUGGUUUUUUACACUAAACAAUAUUUUCAGACCCAAGUCAUACACAAUGCUAAAACCAAAGUAAAUAUUUUUUUUUCAUUUGUACAGAAAAAAUAUAAAUUACCAAGUUCAUCAAUACUUAUUUCAUUUAUCAUCAUCCGAAUCUAUAUUUGCAUCAUCAAUUGUCGAUCUACAAAAGAGAAAUCAAAGAUGUUAAAAAUAUUUCUAAUAAUAAGAUAAAAAUUAAAUAUAAAGACUAGUACCUAGGUGUUUGAAUUAAAAAUAAUAAUCAUUAAAAAAUAUUACCUUUCAAGUAGUACAUAAUUUUGUUGUGUAUUAUAUACUACGUUAAUGGUGUAUUCCAAAUAGAUGAAACUCACUCCCAAGUUGUGUCCAAUAUGGUGAUAUCCUUGUGUCUUACAAUUCCCAUAGGAUGCUAGAGCCAUAUGGAAGCAUAUAGAAGAUUGAUUGGUCGUGAUUAUUAACACUUUUGACGGUUUAUUCUAUAUACAUGAUCAGCUGAACUUGUUCUCUUUAAUUUUCAUAAAUGCAUUGACACAGUUUUUACUUUUUGAUCAUUGGAUAUCCCUGACUUUAAGUUCAUCGAAUUCUAAACUAGGGAAUGCUGUUUGACUUACAACCAUAAUAGUUAGGAAGGUUAUAACUAGAUGGUCACAAUGGUUUUCAAUCACCGAUUGCUUUCUUACGGAACAGAAAAGAAAGGAAAGAUCAUAACUUCUCCCCCACCAGCUUGUGUUAAUUGUCACUACUUAUUGUGGUUUAUUUUAUUUUUCAAAUCACAUUUGGUGACGGUUUCCAAUUCCACCAGCCGCCGAAAUCAAGGUGUAAUUCUAUUGUUUACAGAAUUUCAUUUCUGUUUACCAUUCAUCCAAGCAAUGUCAUACUUUUUACUUUUCAUAUUCUCAAAGUUCUUCAAAUCUUUUUAUUUCAAAUUGAAUGAAACAUUAAUUCUCAUUGGAUAAUCAACAUAUACUUGUCUUAGAGUCCUCAGGUGGACAACUUUUGGGGUUUUGGGUCCUCAUUUGUUGUACUGAUUGGUUCUUGAGGUAAAUAAAUCCAGGAUUCCUGAUAUUGAACAUUCAAUUUUCAUGUCUGAAACUUCCAAUAUCCAAAUUCACUCAUGCAAUACAACUACUCUAUUUUAAAUCAAUUAGAUGGUUUCAGAUACAGAUUUUGUAUUUCCAACAUAAAAAAUCAUGCAAGCAUUUGAUACCCAAAAGACCAUGAUUGGAUUUUUUCUUCUCCCCUCCUCUCCCCUGUAUUGUCAAGUCAUCCAUAAAUUUUCUGCAAUGUCAGACUGUGCAAAAGGUAAUUUUAUCAGUGUAAGUGCUUGCAUUGUUCAUUUCUUCAGACAGCCAUUUACUAUGUCCAACAAUUCAUGCUGUGUUCACUAAUUAAAGCAACUGCGAGUCAAGGUCCUUUUAAGUCGGGAAAAUGACUUGGGUGGUGUGAAUUCACACAUGAAACUUAAUUGGCAUAUUUGUCACUCGGCAAGCUCAAUGGACCCCUUUCAAAUUCACUUUAGAAUCUUUAUUUAUUCUUUAACCAAAGAUAAGGAUUUAAAUACAAAAAAUUCAGCCUCACGAAAGUUAUACAAAAAGCUAUUAAUGAAAUACAUUCAAGAUUAACAAUCACAUUGAUCAAUCAAAUACAUGCCUUAUUUCAUAAGUUCUGAUAUGGAAAUUUCUUCAACAACAGGUUUUCCCAAUGGUGAUUUCCCUGUGAGAAAUUCUUGAGAUACGCGUUGCAUGGUAGGUCGAGACUUGGGUUUUGACUGCAAGCAUGCAAAUGCAACUAUUGAAACAAGAAUAAUAUCAUGAACAACCUUUCGAUCAAGUGGAGAUGGCAGACGUUGGUCUAAAAUAUUGAUCAACCUAAUCUUUCGUUCAGAUGAUGACGA
rnacentral:lncRNA from 1 species